rnacentral:lncRNA from 10 species
CAGAAUGCAGGUUCCAGACCCAAGAAGGGGUUAGGCAGGGUCACAGGCUACUUCAUCUGCCUCCGUAUCUUUAUGCUAAGCACUGCACCCUCUGACAUUGGAGGGCAAGAAAAGAAAAGGUGUUACAAGGAGGAGGCUAGAACCUAUCCCAGGAGUAAUCUGAGAAUUGAGCCAGUGGUUGACAACCAUCCUAGGAAGUAUUUGGAAAUGUGUGGAGACAUGGUACGGUGGACACAAUGAUAGGGAGGGGCACUGUAGGUGGGAGCCAGAGAUGGUGAGCAUCCCAAAAGUGCAGAAGAUCCCAAAGCCAAGAGCAUCCACUGAGAUAUACUGAAGUCAGUUCCAUCUACCCCAGCUGCUCUGACCAUACCUGAACCACUGUACUCAGCACAAAGCCACAACAAAUGUGGAAGGCAGGGAAGAACCAAGAGUUGCAAGAAGAAAAAAAAUACAACAUGCCCAAAAGGUGGUGAUGAGGAAAAGGGGAAACUUAGAGGCAGAUUGGGGCCAAAAACCUAUAGACAACAGCUAGCAGGAUUUACCAAUGAGAACGGCAAGCAGCUUCUCAAAGAGGGAUGCCCCUGCCAACACGGAUGCUGAGCUGCAGCAGGAUGUCUUCAGCUGGAGGGCGCUCUUGAGCCCAUCAGCAGCCAAGGUCUACCUGUCCUACCUCCAAGCCUCUUGUGCUCGUCACUUCCUCUCCACUGCCACGAUGUGGCCACACCUCUCAUAGCUCAACUCAUCUCAUCCACCCCACGAUUCACCUUGGGUCUCUAGGGUCCCAGGUUUGCCAUUUACCACCACGGGCAAGGGUAAUCAAGUUUUUAAAAUGAAAAUAAAGGAUUGCUGAAUAAAUGAACAACCAGAGAGGCGGCCACCAGCCAAGGACAAACAAAGCUGAAUCUGGAACACUGGCUUCCUGCUGUCCUCUCAGACUAAACGCAGACAAAUAAACGUCACCUUACCUACCCACCAGUGUCUCAGCAAGGAAGGAGAGAGAGAAGGAAACGUCACCUUACCUACCCACCAGUGUCUCAGCAAGGAAGGAGAGAGAGAAGGAGGUGAAAGUGCACUGAAGACCUAAUACACAAUGUAUACUUAAGCGGGACUGUCAGGGGACAAAGAACCAGAGCCAGUGGACAAAACCUCCGUUCCCAAACUCCAAGCCACCAAUGGAAGGCCUCACAUAGGAAGCUGUGGGUGGAAGAUGGUGCGUUUCUACUGCCUGGUGGUUUUAGAUCUCUAUCGCCUACUCAGAAUCUGAACCCUAGCCUGUGUGUGUGAGAGGCUGCACGUGCACAUACAAAAACAGCAAGGUAUCUACAAGGGGGGUCAGGAUUGCAGAGGGGCUACCUGUGUGAGCUCUGGAGCCCAACUGCCUGCCUGGGAAUCCCAGCUUACCCACUGACUAGCUGUGUGACUCAGGGCAAGUUCUUUAACCACUCUGUGCCUCUGUCUGCACCUCACUCUCCUUGCCCCUAAAACAGGGGUAAGCAAAGUACCCACCUCCCAGGAUUUUUGUGAGGCUAAAAUGAGAUAACACCUAGCACACUUGCCAGACAAGAAAAGUUCUAUUUUUCCCCAGCACAAUGUUAAUAGGGUUGCCUCUG